rnacentral:lncRNA from 1 species
AGCUACAGAUUCUACAUUUAAUGGUAUUAAGUAUAUUUUGAAUGUAUUGUAGUUAAAUAUUGUACAUUUAAUGGAACUAAGUACCCCCAUGGGUAUCAAUGGACGAAUGGAUGUGACAAGAACUGUACUUGUGACAAUGGUCGCUUCAACUGUAUAGAUUUGUAAGUAAAAUUGAGAAUUGCAAUGGAGAAUGUAUCAAAGCGACAACAAUUCGACCAUAGUGCAAACAAUAGCCGAAGCCACAAAUGGGUCUUUGAUGUAGCGGGAAACUCCCGCACCAAGAGGCGUCCUUCAGCUGGCCCGUUAACAAAUAUGUAUACUAGUUCAGUGAUAAUGGACGUCAUACUAAUUCUAAUUACGCGACUGCAAUAUUGAUAGAUAUGUCUCCUAAUCAUUUGCCAAAGGGAAUGUUUUGUGUUCAAUAUUAUUUAAAGACUAGACAUUUGUUAAGUGAUUUUAAGGAUUUUAAAAAUUAAAUCAUUCAAUUUGCAAAGUAAUUUCAUUUCUGUUUGAAAUAUGCUUAGACCUUUGAAAUAAUAAAAAAAAGUCCAUGAAUUUUCUUUUUUUUGUGUUGUUGUAGUCGUAUGAGACAGUUACAUAAAAAAAACAUGAGUUGCAAACCUAUAAAUGUAAACACUCUUGAUAAAAUCUAUUGAUUGUAAAUAUUAUCAAUUUUGUCAGAUAGUGCCACAUGAAAUUGAACAAAACAGAUUUAUAUAUUUUUAUUUUUUUGAUGCUAUGGAAUCAUUCAAAAAAUUUAAGUGCAAUAUCCAAGAUACAUAGUGAGUAUUAAUUAAGUCAUUGAAUUUAUUUUCUAUUGCAGAUGUCCACGAAUUCUAUCCGUUUUUGGGUUAAAAUGCUGUCAUCCAGAAUUCAUAGUUCGUUAUUUUUUCCCAGGUGAAAACAUUAUAUUUCUCUAUUCAUAAUUUUAUUACAUAUUUUGAAUUAAAAAAAAAUAGGAAAAGGGAUCAAGAAACACUAAACCUGAAGGAAAUUUUUUUUUUUACCGAGAUAUGGUUAUUUCAAUUUCAAAAAUUGCUAGAAAACAGGUUACCAAUAUUUCUGUUUUUUAUAGGCGACACCACAUUGCUGAAAAUAUAGACAUAUUUGGAAGUGUAUGAUAAAAUAUCUGUUAUGAUUUUUCAUUUGAUUACUAACAAAACUAAAAAAAGUUGUAUCCCCUUUUUUCGACAUACAGAUCACUAAAAACAUUUUAAUUAUAGAUUCAAAAAGAAGCGAUAGGUGACUUUAUUUCCAAAUGGCUUGUAAAACAUUAUUCAUUCAUACACUUUUUGUUUCUAAAGAAAAAUUCAAAAAAAUAUUUAUGUAUAUUUUAUUCAAUUUAUCAUAAAAAAAUCAAAAUUUUCCAGAAAAUCCUUACUGUCCCCUUUUGAUAUCAAGUAACAAAAUAACACUCAGACAAUCACCUGUCCGAUGAUUUGUCAUUUAGGAAAAGCCUUUAUUGUAUAGCAAUAUAAUAUUUCCCACAGAAUAACAAAAUGUUAGCGUGCAAUAAAUUCCAUUAUUGCACUAUUGCAAUAAAUCUUCAAAAUGCAUGACGUCAUCAACGAUAAAGCCUCAGUUUAAACCAAUUUUUCACUUUCAAAUAUUAUAUUGCUAUACAAUAAAAGGGUUAUUGCAUGAAUAUUGGGGAAUAGUAUCCCGCGGAGAACAUAUAUUGCACUCGCAAGCUCGUGCAAUAUAAAAUUCUACUCGGGACAUGCAAUAUUCCCCAAUAUUCAUGCAAUAACCCUAUAAUAUCAAGUUAUGAGAAUAAAUCUGUAAAUUGCAUCAUCCGUUUAAACAGAGUGCAACAUGAUCUAAUAAUGUUACUGGUAUACAAAACGGUAUAUAUUUUAUAAAAAUAAUCGAUUAUAUAACAAUUUGAAAAUUCGUUACUUUCAGGCGCAUGUAGUUAUGAUGGUAAGACGUAUAAGCAGGAUGAACGCUGGUUUGAUGGUUGUAAAUUUGAAUGUGUCUGUAAAAAUGCCAUGAUUGGUGAAUACAAAUGUU